GGUUAAGAGCUGAUUAAUUGGACGUUACCCACAGAAGAAGCACCGGCUAACUCCGUGCCAGCAGCCGCGGUAAUACGGAGGGUGCGAGCGUUAAUCGGAAUUACUGGGCGUAAAGGGUGCGUAGGUGGUUGGAUAAGUUAUCUGUGAAAUCCCUGGGCUCAACCUGGGAAGGUCAGAUAAGACUGUUUGACUCGAGUAUAGGAGAGGGUAGUGGAAUUUCCGGUGUAGCGGUGAAAUGCGUAGAGAUCGGAAGGAACACCAGUGGCGAAGGCGGCUACCUGGCCUGAUACUGACACUGAAGCACGAAAGCGUGGGGAGCAAACAGGAUUAGAUACCCUGGUAGUCCACGCCGUAAACGAUGUCAACUA
rnacentral:rRNA from 1 species